rnacentral:rRNA from 1 species
GAUGAACGCUAGCUACAGGCUUAACACAUGCAAGUCGAGGGCAGCGGGAUUGAAGCUUGCUUCAAUUGCCGGCGACCGGCGCACGGGUGAGUAACGCGUAUCCAACCUUCCGUACACUCAGGGAUAGCCUUUCGAAAGAAAGAUUAAUACCUGAUGGUAUCUUAAGCACACAUGUAAUUAAGAUUAAAGAUUUAUCGGUGUACGAUGGGGAUGCGUUCCAUUAGGUAGUAGGCGGGGUAACGGCCCACCUAGCCUACGAUGGAUAGGGGUUCUGAGAGGAAGGUCCCCCACAUUGGAACUGAGACACGGUCCAAACUCCUACGGGAGGCAGCAGUGAGGAAUAUUGGUCAAUGGACGAGAGUCUGAACCAGCCAAGUAGCGUGAAGGAUGAAGGUCCUACGGAUUGUAAACUUCUUUUAUAAGGGAAUAAAACCUCCCACGUGUGGGAGCUUGUAUGUACCUUAUGAAUAAGCAUCGGCUAACUCCGUG